rnacentral:rRNA from 1 species
CGGCGAGCGGCGGACGGCUGAGUAACGCGUAGGAAUUUGCCCCAAAGUGAGGAAUAACUGCCCGAAAGGGUAGCUAAUGCCGCAUAUGGUCUUCGGAUUAAAGCCUUCGGGCGCUUUGGGAGAAGCCUGCGUUGGAUUAGGUAGUUGGUAGGGUAAUGGCCUACCAAGCCGACGAUCCAUAGCUGGUCUGAGAGGAUGAUCAGCCAGACUGGAACUGAGACACGGUCCAGACUCCUACGGGAGGCAGCAGUGAGGAAUCUUCCACAAUGGGCGAAAGCCUGAUGGAGCAACGCCGCGUGAAGGAUGAAGGCCUUCGGGUUGUAAACUUCUUUUAUGAGUGAAGAAUAUGACGGUAACUCAUGAAUAAGCACCGGCUAACUACGUGCCAGCAGCCGCGGUCAUACGUAGGGUGCAAGCAUUAUCCGGAGUGACUGGGCGUAAAGAGUUGCGUAGCGGUUUAAUAAGUGAAUAGUGAAACCUGGUGGCUCAACCAUACAGACUAUUAUUCAAACUGUUAAACUCGAGAAUGGUAGAGGUAACUGGAAUUUCUAGUGUAGGAGUGAAAUCCGUAGAGAUAUGGAGGAACACCGAUGGCGAAGGCGACUUUCUGGUCUGUAACUGACGCUGAUGUGCGAAAGCGUGGGGAUCAAACAGGAUUAGAUACCCUGGUAGUCCACGCCGUAAACGAUGAGUGCUAAGUGUUAGGGGGUUUCCGCCCCUUAGUGCUGCAGCUAACGCAUUAAGCACUCCGCCUGGGGAGUACGACCGCAAGGUUGAAACUCAAAGGAAUUGACGGGGACCCGCACAAGCGGUGGAGCAUGUGGUUUAAUUCGAAGCAACGCGAAGAACCUUACCAAAUCUUGACAUCCUUUGACCCUUCUAGAGAUAGAAGUUUCCCCUUCGGGGGACAAAGUGACAGGUGGUGCAUGGUUGUCGUCAGCUCGUGUCGUGAGAUGUUGGGUUAAGUCCCGCAACGAGCGCAACCCUUAAGCUUAGUUGCCAUCAUUAAGUUGGGCACUCUAAGUUGACUGCCGGUGACAAACCGGAGGAAGGUGGGGAUGACGUCAAAUCAUCAUGCCCCUUAUGAUUUGGGCUACACACGUGCUACAAUGGACAAUACAAAGGGCAGCGAAACCGCGAGGUCAAGCAAAUCCCAUAAAGUUGUUCUCAGUUCGGAUUGUAGUCUGCAACUCGACUACAUGAAGCUGGAAUCGCUAGUAAUCGUAGAUCAGCAUGCUACGGUGAAUACGUUCCCGGGUCU